GAGCUCAUAGGAGUGAAAAACAGCUCAUACAUAUGUUGUCUAAUCGAGCUAUGGAUCCAAAGGAACUCAGCAUAUAAUUAAAUCAAGAUGUGCAUGUGUGAUGGAGUAAUGAUAGUGAUGGUGAAAAUGCAUAAGUGAUAAAAUUUAGUUCUCAUUGCUCCUUAUAUUGCUAUCUCUCCUCCUCUUCUGAUCUUUGCUUUGGGAGAACAUGGGCUAUCUUUAUUUUCUCUUUUUUUUCAGGUGGGUAGUAGAUACCCCUAAUUCUACUGUCGGACACUUGUCCAUUUUUUCCGCUCAAGUGGGCAUCUUUGUACCCCUAAUUCUACUUCGGACACUUGUCCAUUUUUACCUCUCGUCUCACUCUUUUUCUUUCUUUUCCGAGGUUCUGGGCACUUGUCCCUUUUUAUUUCCUCGCAUAUUUUUGCAUAACCCAUGCCUCUUCUGCAUUGAAUCUUUUUAAAGAGAGAGAAUAACAAUUUCGGGACAGUGAGUGAUAAUAUAUAUAUAUAUUUUUAGCAAUUUUAAUAAAUGAUGAACGCUGUGGUAGAUGUGUGCAAGUGAAUAUCUUAAUUUAACCACAUGAAAAGCUCCUAAGGGUCUACACAGCUCGAUCAAACUCAAUGUAAAUAUCGUAAAAGAUGUUAUAGCAAGUAUGGCUGUGGUAGGUAGUUUUGUUAUGCUAGGAACUCAUCAUGUGAUUUAUAGGUUUUCAAAAUAAAUCUCCAGAACUUAGUGUAGUAGAAACAAGAUAAACAGUAGCUCAACUUUAUAUCAUGCCUUUCUCUUACCUAGACUUUAGUUUUAUGCUUCCCAAAGAUAGUAAUUUUAGUUUUAGUAAUUCCUGGAAGAAUUCUAAUAUAAAAGCUAGGUACUU
rnacentral:lncRNA from 1 species